CAGCCGCCGCGGUAAAACGUAGGGCGCAAGCGUUGUCCGGAAUUAUUGGGCGUAAAGAGCUCGUAGGCGGUCUGUCGCGUCUGGUGUGAAAUCCCGAGGCUCAACCUCGGGCUUGCAUCGGGUACGGGCAGACUAGAGUGCGGUAGGGGAGACUGGAAUUCCUGGUGUAGCGGUGGAAUGCGCAGAUAUCAGGAGGAACACCGAUGGCGAAGGCAGGUCUCUGGGCCGCAACUGACGCUGAGGAGCGAAAGCAUGGGGAGCGAACAGGAUUAGAUACCCCAGUAGUCCCUGUCUCUUAUAC
rnacentral:rRNA from 1 species